AUUUAAAAAGUAAGAAUAAAAUAAAAAUAGUUAUCAACAGAGGUUGGGUCUAGCUGAAGGGCUAGACUCACCACAUGGUGAACCGAUGUUCGAAUUCUGGUUGGGAGAAGUAUCCACAUUUAGUGUCUGACAUGUCUCGAUUAGAACUACCUCUAGUAGAGGGAACCUAUGGAAAACCAAAAACAAAAAGCAAAAACAGUUUUUGAAAAGAGAAUUCAAACAUACCUGAGUCUUUUUAUCUCACUUUUAUACGGGCUAUAGUAACUCUUUUUUUGAGUUGAAACAUUUCUUAAGGAUAUGAAAUACCUUGCAUAUGUGCUGGUGUCCGUGCUUAAUCAUUUAAGGGACUUGUUUAACUCUCAAUCCCAACCCCUACUGCUACAAUUUUUAUUUUAUUUUUUUGAAUGGAAAAUGUUAGUAAUUAGUUGUGGAGAAGUGCUAGGAACACUCUUUUCUACAUUCUCUCGAACACUCCACUUAUUUAUUGGGUGGAAUCCAUAUGAGUCUCACCACUUUAUGUGGGACCUAUUUCUAAAGUGUAGGAUCAUCAUUGAUUUCACCAAUGAAAGAGUGUUAAAAAGAGAGUGUUCCUAGCACUCCUCAUUAGUUAUUAGAUUAAUAUGUAUUCCUCCGUCCGGGUUUGAACCUGGGACCUUCAAGAAUAAGAUCCUUGUUUCACUAUAUUUACCAUAAAUUACAAGACAUAGAAAAUGCGUGAAUAGGGCAUUGUGAAGAGAUGACGUAAAACACGUAUUGGAGGCUCAUAAAUCAUACUCAUACCCCUAGUUUCUUUCACUCUUUCAUUGUCUUCAAGCUUGAAAACUCUGCUAAAGUUGUUGCGCAAUGAAAUGUAAAACAGAAAGAUAUGCAAAAUGGUGUGUUUUAUGUAUUUAACCAAUUUAAAUUUUAAUAUAAUUGUAAAUGCGAGACAAUGGUCUUGUUUGUUUUCCUAAGCUGAUUACUUAUGGUACAGGUGGUAGCUGCAAUGAGUUCCAAAGUGCCCUUCAUUAGCAAUGCAAUCAUGAAGGCUACUGGCUGCAGUAUGUAGUUCCUUACUCAUACAUUAUCCGAGUCUUGCUUUGUUCGGUUCUUAUAUAUUUGAAUAGGAAUCACUCAUUUUUGCUGGUAGAUAUCCUACGGAUACCUUGCAAUGCCUUUUUUGGCAACAAUGAGAAAACAUUAGCAACUUCUAUACAUAAUAUAACUAUGUUACAUGAUGUGGUUUCUAUGUACCAUUUGUAGUAGCUAAACGGUUUCUAUGUUACAUAAUUUAACUUAAACCAUUUUCAUGCAGUGUAUCAAACUUUUGUUAUUGAUACUUGUUUGCAGAAAAUUACAAUUGCCCUGCGCAUUGUCAUUUUUGUACCACCUCCUUUAAAUACUUUUCUAUGACAUUAUAUCUUCAUAGUAAUUCAUAGGAUGUUUGGAAUUCUGCAGAUUCAUUCAACGUGUUAAUUAAUAACGGAGCAGCUGCUGGUCAAGUAAUAUUUCAUGUAAGAUUCUCUGUAUUUUCUCUACUGUUAUUAUUAAUUUUGCGGAAUCAUACAUUUAAUUCACAAAUUGUGAAAUUUAAUUUAUUUUCCUAAAAAACAUGUUCAUUUCAGACUCAUAUGCACAUAAUUCCUCGCAAAGCGUAUGAUUGCUUGUGGGCUUCUGAGGUAAUGUUUCAUUUCCAUCUCAUAUUUGAUUUGAUAUGCAUAAUAUGUUGCAAUGUGAGUACUAAUUGAUGCUCAAACCCCUUGUUUAUAUAGAGUUUGCUAAGGCGUCCACUUAAUUUAGACGAUGAGAAAGUUUCUCAACUUGCAGCAUCUAUUCAAGAACAGUUGUUGGUAUCAGACAUUUGCCAAGAAAGUAAGAAUGAAGAAGAUUUUUGUCCAAGUAAAAGUUAAUAGCGUUAUUGAUCUGUUGUAACAUAAUAUUUUCAUUUAGAGGAAUGUUACAUGCUCAUUAUAAUUUAAACAUUACCCUCAAACUCAAUAAAUGAAUGGUUGGGAUUUUCUUAACCAUUGCUUUUAACUUGGUUCAGAAAUACCUCAACUACUCAUUUGUUGAAUGUAUGUUAUUAGUGCAUACAUCAUUUCUCUUGUAUGUUUUUUGAACAAGCAUUUCUCUUGUAUGUUAACGUGUACAGUCAUUUUUGUAUUUUAUUCCCUAAAUGUUGGAACCAUGCAAAUAUAUUACUCCACAUGUUAGCUACUUAUUGAGCUAAUCAGAUCUUAAAUCCAUUCAUACAAACCUUUUGUGGUUGUCACAAGGGGGACUAUUGUUAAUGUUCAUAAAAUUUAAGUCAAGGCCACCCAAUUUCAAUUACAAUUUAUGGUCUAUAUACAGACCUUUGAUGAAACACUAUUUGACAUAAAUGGAUGACGAAUUCAAACAUGUGCCAAGGGCUUAUAUUAAGGAACUUUUUAAAUUAAAAAUAUUAAAUUUUCAAUGUAAAGUUUUUAACAUGUGUUCUUAUGACAUAAAUUAGCAAGAUCCUAAAUGUAUUCUUAGCGAUUAUUACAUCACACAUAGUUAUCAAUGAGAUUUUGAUUAAAACUAAUUUAGUGAAUCUAUAAUCUGAAUCAUUUGCUGCAAACACUAUGUUUUUAUUAAUGCAUGGAAUCCGGCUCCUACUCCACACAAGUGGAUGAAUUAGGGUUUAACUUCAGUUACGGCAUCCGACCUAGCAAUCAAUGUUUUUACCAGUUGAACUAAGACUUGUGAACAAAUUCAAAGUAAGAUAUACCAGUAUCAUUACAGGCUUCACUAACUGUAACUAUCAUACAAUAUCUACUACAUAUGACAUCUAUCAUCAUGGAUUUUGGCAAGAUGCCCUAUUUGUCAAAUUGAAAAGAACAACACCUUUGCUCUCAUGGAUUUUGGCAGAGAUAAUUUCUCUGAAUAGUUGAAGGUUUUGCUUUAGUUCCUCCUCUAAGACAUUAAAUCCUAAAUUACCAACAAAUAUCUGUCAUGGAAAAGUAUGUAAACUACUACUCCCUCCUCCACUUAUUAUAAGACUCCCUUUUGAGAUUUUAUUGUCCCUUACUGUGAGACUAUUUUCAAAAUUUCACAUGCAUCAAUAUUUUUUUUUUUACAAAAAUGGUCUUAGUCGUUUUACAAUUGGUAAACGAAAAUUUGUUCUCUCUCCCUUAUGAUAUCAAUAACUGUUAGAGUAAUUAUGAAAAAGUAACACAUUUUUGACAAAUUUAUUGCUACAAAUACCUUUCUUAAUACACAUGAAUUUUGUAAGUGAGACUUAUAAUAAGUGACAAAAAUGAGUAAUAUAUAUCUGCCAUGCAAAAGUAUGUAAGAGUACACCAUAGAAGUGGAAAUCAUAAAAAUGUUAGGUCUAUGUGACUUACAGUAUUAUUAAGAUUUGUAUCAUACUCUGGUGGAUCUGUAUUCAUUGGGAUUGUACAUAUUGCUUCAAAGGAGAUCCAUAGAUAAAUAUAUUUUCUAACAUAGCAGAAUACUAAAACAAAUUUAAGUUUUCAACUUCCAAACGAUGGCUUUGAUUGUGGAAGGUUUUUGAUGUAUCAUCGUGAAUUGCAUGUUUACAUCAUUAAGAGAAUUAUGUUAAGGAUCUACUUAACAUAUGAAUGGUAAUGAGAAGGAAUAAGUAAAAUUAUCAUACAUUGUUUGGAUAUUACAUGAUGGACUAGAAAAGUUCUCUUUCCAAUGUUUUGGAAGUAAAUGGAACAGUAAGGAGAAUAAUGUACAAUAAGUUAGUCCCAAUCUAUACUCCCAAAAUUGGGAGGAGAAAAAUUAUAUAAUCAACAGUUAGAUGGAAUGGAAUUGAGUAAAUUCUAUAAGUUCCAUUUUAUUCAGUCCCUUUCCAAUCCAUCAACCCCAAGGGCCACUUGAUGUGAAGCGAUGAAGUCCUUGUCACGACGCGAUCCAGGGAACGGUAAGACAAACCACGGUUUGUUACUCAGCAGGUUACCUUGAAUUCUGAUAUAGCACUACGGCUAUAUCAAUGUAUCUUGACAUUUCUUAAGAUGUCAACUCCCUAUUCUGUUUUCAUAUCUUUAUGUAAGGAAAUCCAAGAGAUCAAGUUAGCAGGUACUAAGAGUUGCCAAUCAUGACAUUGUUGCUUUUCACACAACGCUCCAAGCAGGUUCUUUCUUCAUCCCAGUUUUGUUCAGUGAACUUCUAAUCUUUGUAACUUCUUCCCACUGCUCUCCAUCAGCACAAAUGUUUGAAAAGGACACAUAAGCACCAACAUCACUUGGUUCCAAUCCCAUUACUUUUUCGGCUGCUAACUUCCCGAGCUCAAAAUCACCAUGAACCUUACAAGCAGCAAGCAGUGUUCCCCAGAUCAGCGCAUUAGGCUCAACAGGCAUGUUGUUUAUGAAACUUUCAGCUUCUCUUAAUCUACCAGAUCGACCAAGAAUAUCAACAAUACAAGCAUAAUGGCGAUGACUCGGUGUAAUCUUGUAGUCUUCAAUCAUUGAGUUUAGAUAGAAGAAGGCUUCUUCAACCAGUCCACUAUGGCUACAAGCCGAUAGAAUCCCAACAAAAGUUACUGCAUCAGGUUCAACUCCUUCACUUUUCAUAAGUUCAUAUGCAGCUAAAGCAUCUGCCCCUUUACCGUGUUGAGCAUAGCUCAAUAUGAGGGAUGUCCAACCUAUAAGGUCGGGCUUCUCGACAUCAUCAAAUGCUUUGCGACAAUCUUCAAUACUUCCGCAUUUUGAGUACAUUGUCAAUAGUGAACUUCCAACCGAUACAUCGGCUUGUAACCCCAACUUUUCAAUGUAGGCAUGCAAUUGUGUUCCAAUGUCUGAUUGACACAAAAGUGAAGCAGCCCCAAGAAUGGAUGUAAUUGUGAAGGCAUCAACUGUUUCAUCAUUUCGAAGCAUAUCAUGGAAUAACAAAAACGACUCUUCGAUUAAACCAUUUUGGGCAUAUCCCGAGACCAAGGAAGAGCAAGCAAAAGCAUCCUUAUGGGGAAGGAUAUCAAACACCUUUCUUGCCAAACUCAAGCUUCCACACUUAGAAUACAUGUUUACAAGUGCACCACCAACAACUGUGUUUGUUCCUAGUCCUAAUCGAAAAGUGGAACCAUGAAUUUCUCUACCUGUCCGCAAUAAACGAAGAUCAGCACAAGCAGUUAGAAUCGAGAUUAAUGUAAUAUGAUCAGGUACAACUUCUUGAUAUAGCAUUUCUUUAAAUAGUCGCAGAGCUUGAUCGGGAUAUCCAUGCUCUACAAAACCAGAAAUCAUAGAGGCCCACGAGACAUUAUCUUUGACAAUAGCUUGUUGAAAAACUUCAUAAGAUUCCUCUAAACAACCACAUUUCGAGUACAUUGUAAAAAGCGAACAACCAACAGUAGCAUUGGUGACUAAUCCAGCUUUCAAAAUGUAACUAUGCACCUGUGACCCUAGACUUAAGCUGCUCAUAAUACUAAGCAAACUCCCAAUACAAUACUCAUCAGGUUUCACUCCUUCUCUUAACAUUACAGUGAAUAAUUCAAGUGCCCUUCCAGAAUUUCGGUUUUGAGCAAAAGAAGACAACAUGGAUGCCCAUAUGCCCGGAUCCUUCAUAUUUUUCAUCUCGCUGAAGGCUAACUCAGAUAAUCCAACUCCUCCUAUUUUUGCAUACAUGUUGACUAAAGCAGCUCCAACCUUAACAUUCAAAAUCAACCCUAAUUUUAAUACCAAGGAAUGAAUUUGUUUUGCUUCCUCGAUCAGCUCAGGUUUAGCACAUGCAGAAAGUACACUAGUAACGGUGUAGGCAUUUAUCUCAUGCCCUAUUUGUCGCAUAUCUUUGAAUAGCUUUAGUGCAAAAGUAGUAUCAUCCUGUUGCACAAACCCAGAAAUAAUAGCAGUCCAAGAAACAACAUUUUGUACUUGCAUCUGGGAGAAUUGUCUAUAAGCUUCGCUCAUACAUCCGAAUUUUGCGUACAAGUCAACGAUAGCAGUCUCCACAAAGACAUCCGUUGCACCACAUUUGAUCGCCAAUCCAUGAACUCCUUUCCCAAUCUGCAUCUCUUUAAGCGCACAACAAGCCGUUAAGAUGCUCGGAAAUGUGUAACUAUUUGGCAUUAAAGAUGCGCGACACAUUUCACUAAACAGAUUCAAAGCAACCUGGUUUUCUCCAUUUUUCACUGCCAAAGAAAUAAUAGCAUUCCAACUCGCCACAUUAUCACACGAAGCAUCAUUAAAAAACCUCAAAGCUUCACUAAAGUUACAAUUUUUACAAAACAUAUCCACCAUUUGAGUCUGAACAUAACCACUCGACAAAAAACCAUUUUUCACAACAAGUGAAAAAACUUGCAAACCAAACAUCGAAGCCUGCAAAGCAACACAAGCAGAAAGAACACUCCCAUAACUAAACUCAUCAGGCUCAAAACCAAACAAAUGCAUCCUACAAAACAUCUCCAACGACUUCAAAAACAUCGAAUUACGAACGUAACCAGAUAUCAUAACAUUCCAAGAAACAAUACUCGGUUGAGUAAUUGUAUCGAACAGCUUAUGAGCAAGAACCAUAUCAGAAGAUUUACAAUACAAACCAAUCAAUGAGUCCAUGAAAAAGAUACCAGAUUGUAAAUAAUGAGUUUUAAGCAAAUGGGCAUGCAGGAUUUUUGUGUUUCUAGCAUUGUGUUGCGGUGAAAACUUGUAAUCACGCAAAAUCACAAAUGGGUUUGGAAGGGAAGAGGUGAAUCUGCAUGAAAGUUGUGAACUUUUUGUGUUGAUUAGUGAAUUUUGAAGGAAAGUGCGAAGGGGAAACAAUGUGAUAGCCAUGUUGAGUAUUAUUAUGGUGAAUUUUCAUUUGAUUUUAAAAAAUGAAGCAUAGUGAAAGCAUGAUAGUAUGUGAUAAUCUACAUUAUUGGUACUCUUGCAAUUCAGUGGCAUAAGGAAAAUCAAUAAUACAAGCCAAAACUAUGGGAUAAUUCAGUGGCAUAAGGAAAAUGUUCAACGGUUCAAAGCAUUUUGAAAUCCUCUUUGUUAUAUAGGAAACAGACACAAUUUAUAUUUUUUUGGUAAAUUUUUAAAGGUUUCAUUUUAAUCCCUAUAAAUUUUCUAAUCACCAUUUUAAGUCCUUAUUUUUAAGUCAACUCAUGUGUAGCAUUUGUAUUUUUAAUGAAAUUAUGCAAAAAUGUUCAAUAGAAUUUUUUAAUAAAACAGAAUUAAAUAUGAUUUUUUAACUGCCAACAAUAUAAAAAUUAAUAUUUAAUUCAUGUUUUGUUAAAUAUGUCGGAUGUCAGUGAUUCGGACUUAGGCCUUUAUAAUCGCACGAAACUUAAAGGUUCUUACUCAAAGGCUUUCAAAACUCCGCAAAGUUAAUCUUUCUGGUAAUAUCUACAUUAAUGAUUCAUUGUUUUUUCAACUGUGUAUGAACUGGGAACUUCUGGAAGAGGCGGUUAUGUUUGAAUGCCCUUUCAUAACAUGUACUGGUAUUGCUUAUGCAAUCUUCAUACUUCAUUGAUUCAUUGGCGAGUUUGAAGCGCUUAACUUGUCUUGACCAGUCCUUUUCAUGCAUUACUGAUUUCUUGCUUUGCUCUCUAGCACUUGAAGCUCUUCCUUUGAGCAAACUUGUCUCCCAAGAUUACUGCACAUAUACACAUAUACCGGGAUCUCUUAUCUCUUGUCAAAGUGUCGAUUUCUGCAACAUCUAGAUCUUUAAAAUGCAAUCUUUUUGAAUAAUUGUCGUUUCAAUGAGUUGUAUGUAUUUCUUGAUGAUUUCGUGUCUAUAAAUGUGAGUGGUUGUGAGUUGUGACAAGCUCACCAAUUCAGCCUUGUUCGCACCUCCUUAAGAAUUGUACUUUGCUAAGUGAGAUCAGAAUCGAGUCAACACAAAUUGGAAUAGGUUCAAUACCGUCAAAGGAUUUUUGGUUGUAUACCAUCAAAUGAAGUCUCUUCAUUUGGCUUACAAUUCAUGUUUGCAAGGUGAAGAAAUCAAUAUGUAUGCUUACAUGUUUCCUAAUAUGGAGCUUCUUGAUUUGAAUUCUUGUGAUGGCAUAUAUGAAUGAAGGUAUUGGUAAAGUGUUAAAGAAAUGUUGUAAUACCAGGCAUUUGAACUUUGCCUUCUGCCCACAAGCUAAGCAUUUUUGGAUCAACUUUGAAGCUUCCAAACUAGAGGUGUUGGUUGAACUUGUCACACUCAAGAAUUGAUGAUAAAGUACUGUAUGCGAUCUCAAAGAUUUUCCCUCGGCUUUUGCAACUAGACCUGGAACGUUGUUAUGAUGUCACCGAUAAGGGGAUGAGGCUAGUGGUAGAAAACUACACACACCUGAGACCUUAAUUUGCGAUAUUGUCGUAAUGUGUCGACUACUAUUGUAGUCUGGAUGAUAUUUUGAAACCAUGGUUAAGAAAAAUAACAGCUCCGGGUCAUUUUCGUCCUAAUCACUAUUAUAGGAAACUCUUCUUGCAUCAAUGUCUUGUUUGCUAGUGUUCUGGAAAUUCUCCGUUCGACUGUAAGAUUUCUAUGAUUCAUAAGUUACUCCUCUGAGAUUUUUUAAAUAAUGUGAACUUCCAUUUGUUUUAUUUUGUUACUGGUUUGUGCAUGAUAACUCCAUGAGUAAUAGCAUUUUGUUGACUAAUAGGAUACAUUGACCAAUAUAAUAGAUAUGGAUUGCUUUAUAUUUAGCUUUGAUGACUCUGCUACCAGUCAUGUACCCAGUUUUCUGUAUUACACAUAUUAUUUCUUUAUUGACUUUUCUGCUUAUUAGUAACCCCUUUUAGUUAUGUAUUGAUUAAAGUUCAACUAUUUUUUUCUUCUGUUUCCAAUCGUUGUAUCAAAGGCACAUGGAAAAAAUUAAGUAUGCAGUCCAUUGAAGCAAUGUUUCAACUGUGAAUUAAUGGAUCUAAAGACCUGACAUUUUGUCCUCUGCAGUCAUUAAUGAAGCUGGAACAUUAGAGAGAAGAUUUAAGAAAUUGACCAUAAAAAUCUAUCAAAGUAUGUCAUCGAGAACUUCUAUCAUCAAUUCUCGCUAUCGCAGAACCAAACACACGCUAUAUCUUUUACGAAAUAAGCAUGAGUUAACCAUCAAUGAGUCAUCCCCCCAACAUCAGCAAGGAAUGUGAUUAAGGCUUGUGCAAGUUGGUUUAGUUCGAGAGGUACAUAGGUACCAUCAAAGAGAAAGAAGAAAGGUCUCGUGACAACAUGGGAGAUGUUUAGUAUGGUUCAUGUAUAAACACAUUAGAGGGGUGGGCGAGCUGAGCUAGCGUAUUGUUUGCGAUUUGUGUUUUCUGUAAUCUUCUGUUACUAGUUGCUGCUCUAAUAGGAGGACCUUGAUCUUUCAUCUUCUGAAAAAGAAGAUGAAGAGGAAGCUAACCUCUGGUGGCAGAUGUAGAACCAGAUGAUGAAUCAUGUUCAGAAGAUGAUAAUGUAUUUUCUUACUAUCCCUUUGAUUUAGAACCAGCUUAUGACAAACUACUUACAGACACCUCUACUCUAUUAAAAAAGUAUGAUGUUUUAAGAAGCAAAAGUCACAAAUUGCAAAACAGAUGCAAUGUGCUCAAAGAAGAUAAGUUGAAAUUAAUUAAAGUGAGUGAAGAGGUUCAAGUUGAAUGAAAUUCAAAAUUUGAUUAAUUCAACAGGUUGGAACUAUAAGUUUUUCACUAAACUUGUUUAUUUUCUAUCUUAAUAUUUCUGCCCAUUACAUAAAGAAAGUAAAAGUAGGGAUGACAUAAAUGUAAAUGAAAUAUUUAAUAUAUAUAUACACGAAGAACUUUGUAGAAUUUUUUGAACAAAGAGCACAUAGCUUCACUUUAUUCAGGUACUUAAUUAACAUGAAAAUAACUUCAUUGAGAGAAAAGAAUGUACACAAUUGGUUUUAUGAAGCAUAAGUUUCUUAUAGUUUUUUACCUUCAAUAACUUGAAGGUACACAACUGAAUAAUAUACCUUGAAAGAGAGUCUUGGAUUCAAGGACAUUAUUAUGCAGUGUGUGUGAUGUUAACAACCCUAUGCAAUCUCUCAAGAAUUCCACUAGCUUUUCUCUUAGCCCUUGAAGUUCCACUUUUUGCAAGUUCAGAAAUUGUUCUGUGACUGUUCUCCUCUUCCUUUAUUUCCCUCAACUUGGAUCUAUCAUAAAGACAUAUAGUUUGAAGGAUUGCGACACAGUUCUCUUUAUUGCGUUCGCACGAGCUCUCUCGCAUAAUGCUUAGCAAACAAGGAACAGCUCCAAGCUCUGCCAUUUCAAGGACAGCCUUCUGAUGAGUCGAAAGUAGGGCAAGGAUAGCUAGUGAUUCGUCGACGUGAACUCGGUUUUUCAUCUUUGCCAUAAUCACUCUAACCGCACCGUCUUUCACUGCUAUUGCUUUGUUGUCAUGCAUCAUACAUAAAGUGAAUAUUGCUGAAGCAACAUCCUUCAUAGCUAAGGGAUUCCCUUCUUCCAAUAGGUCGAUAAGCGGUUUUAAGGCAUUGGAUUUUCCUAUAAGUUCUUUGUUUGAGUCUAGUGCUGAUAACGUGAAAAGGGUUGCUGCAGCGUUGGCUCGUGUUUCGAUUGUUCCACAUCUCAAAGCCUUCUUGAGGAUUGGAAUUACCAUUGGAAUUUCAGCCACUUGUUUCUUGUUGUUGUCAUGUAUCGAGAUAUUGAGGAGGGUUGUGAUCACAUCUUCUUGAAGUUCAUGGUUAAUACUAUCUCCUUCACAAAUUGGCUUAAGCAAUUGAGGAAUUGCAUGUUCGAAAUCACAAAAAAGUACUCGAAAACAAGGAUGCUUCUUUGUCAAUAAUCUAAGUUGUUUUGCAGCUUCUUUCUGAUCACAAAGUGUUGAAGACAUUUUCUCAAGCAAACAUAAAAAGUGACUCUGAUCAGCUUCUUUAGCACCUUCAUCGCUAAUGUAACUCAUAGCAUUGCACAAUUCAAGUCCUUGAUUUUUAGACCAUUUUUCUAUCAUUUCUCUUAUAAGGUGAUUUGGAGUAAGCAGAGUGUGUGAGAGAACUUGAUGAGUUUGAGGACAUGUCCUAUUUCCAGCAUUAAACCAUCUUUGAAUGAAAGGUCUAUCAUAUGUCUGCAAAAUUUAAACCAACAGAAAUGUCAUGUAUUGUUUUUUUUACUUAACCAUCGAGUUUCCAGGGGAAAUGGGCCCUCGUAAUCCAAAGUUUGAUAGGUAAGUAACUAUAGUCUGACAAAGAAUUAUUCCAAUCAAGAUUCAAACUCGAGUUAUCCCAAACAAUUUGUUAUAGUAAACCAUUUAAACUCAACCACUUGUUAAAAUAUCAUGUAUUAACCAUAAAAAGGUAAACAAUAUAAAUUUCAUUAUUAGACCAGAAAAAUCUCCAAUAUGUUUUAAGUCAUUAUUGAUUGAAUAAACACAAAUCUUGAAGCAUCAAUGCUGAGAAAAAAAGAGGGAGACAGAGAAAAGAAAAGGUAGUUUUGGUGGGGAAGGCAUCAAUGUUAAAAAUUGGGAGAAAGGAAAAAAGUUAAGAACAAUAAAAUUUUAAAUAUUCCCUUUUGAGAAAAUCAGUCAAAAGUUUUACACAAAGAAACAAUCACCACCACUACUCACUCAAGAGUGUCUCAAGAACAAAGAAUAUUAUCUACAUUUUUUAUUUCCCACUCUUUCUCUUUCCAUCUACACACACAUUAUAUAUAAAUUCAGAAAAGCUAACAUAGUAGAUAAAGUGAACACAAAACAAAACUAACUUGAGAUUGAAAGAGCAUUAAACAACAAAAACAGAAAGAUAGAAAGAAAAAAUCUAUUUUGGAUUGAAAGAAAACAACAAAAGAAAAGAGAAAACUACAAUUCCAAAUAAUGAAAUGACUUAUCAUCAUCAUAUACACUUUUUUUUUUAAUUAAUAAAAACUAUAUAUUUAUCAUCAUUGUAUAGAAAUAUACAUUUCUAAGGUUCUGAAUGAAGAAAGAACUGAAUAUAUUCCUUUUCUAUCUUUACCACACCUUUAUGGUCACCAAACAUUGAAUAAAGUACCAAAAUUCCAGCAAAACCAGAAUCAAUAAUCUUAUAUAUCUUCUUCCCUUUUAAUUCUAAUUCAAUCAAAAUAAAAAUAAAAAAUCUAUUUCUGUUAAGGAACAUUUUAUCCCAUUUUUCCUAAUGUAUGAUAAUUAAUGAACUUUUUCAUAACAGUUACAUAAAAGAAUAAAAAGUCAAACAAAUAAAAUACUAAUUUUAAUGAAAUUUAAUUUUUUUUUACCUUAUGUUUCCAACAUUUUCACAGUAAUAAUAACUAAGAAAACAGAAAAAUUAAAACUAAUACACCAAAUUUGUGACACUAACCUGACCAGAAGCAACAAUGACAGGAUCUCUCAUAAAUUCCUUGGAAAGUGGACAUUUGAAUUCAUCUGGGAAAGUAACAUUCUUGUUUAUCUUAAAAGACAUUGAAUUUGAAGAUUGAGAUUUCUUUCUUAGCUUCAAAUCUUUAAGAACACAAAGAGUUUCUUUUGCUUUAUCAAUUGCUUCAAUGCUUAUAUCUUCAUCAUCAACAAUGGACUUCACAAGCUUUUUCAACUCCUUCUUCAACUCUAAAGCUUUCUUCAACAUAACUUCUGGAUCAGAAUCUAACACCCCUGGUUUUGCCAUGUUUAUGAUGAUCCAAUGAAACAAAAAGAUUCAAUUUUGAUGAUAGCCCAGAAAAUUAAAAUAUUGAAUAUUUUUCAUAGAAUGAAGAUGCAGAGAAUAUCAGUGAAAACACUCUGUUUUCAGAUUCUCUCUCUCUACUUAGGUAGCUUCUGAGCUCAGUAACAAUGAAUUGUGUUAAGAGAAAAAGAAAGACACAAAACUUAGUGUUUCUCUCACUAGACUUUGUUUUUUUGUUUCUUAUAUAUAAAAAGAUCUCAUUUCAUUUCAUUGAUUUGAGUAUAAUUGAUGCCCAAGUUAUUCACUCUAAAAUAAGUGAGAGAAAAGGAAAAAAAAAGUUAUAUUCUUGUUUGAUCUUAUCCUACAAGUUUCACAUGAGCCAUUGGUUAAUUUUAGUUGUAUUCUUUUUUUUUUUUUAAUUUAAAAUGAUAAUAAUGCACAUCAAGAUAUUUAAAUAGAAAAAGAUUAAAUUUGUAACUUGGUUUCUACUUCUAGAAUGAGAUUAUUUUAUAGUUAACAAAUUCACCCUUUCAUGACUACUUUUUUUACAAUGGGAAAUGGAUAAGGAAACAAAAUAGUUGAUGUAUAUUUUAGGCAAUGCAAAAUAGUUCAAUCAAAGUAUUUCAAUUUAAACUCUAACCAAAAUAAUUUUUUGUCAAAAUUUAUUUACCUUUCACUGUAAUUUUGAAUGGUAAUCCCCUUUACCCUUGAACUUGACAAAAAAUAUAUAUAGGAUGGUUUAUUAGAAGUUUUGAUUACAAAGUAUUUAAAGUUUUAUAUCAUAAAAAAAAGUUAAAUUUUGGUUUGUCGUAUAACUAUUUUUAGAUUGAAGAUGGGUGGAGAGGGGUCAUAUGUUCAAACACCCUAAUCAUAUAUUAAUGAAAGAAGAAAAAGGUAUAAAAAGAUGGGGAAAUAGACCAAAAUCCGCGAUGAAAAUAAAGUGCAAAAAAAAGAAAGAUAAACCCUUCAAAUGAAAACCUUUAAAACUACUUACCAUAUACUUGGUAGAGUAAUUCCCUUUGCUAAGUUCAACAUGUUGACUUCCCUGGUUCUUCUUUUUCCUUAAGACAACCGGUUAACAUUGUCGGUAAAAAUUUACAUGUUAGCCUAAAUUCUCUCAGAAAGUUCACGUCUUGUUGGACCACCGAAGGAAUAGGUAUAAUUAAAAGAGUAAGUUGUAGUUUUGCUCUAUCGAUCUCUAAUUCCUGCUCAUUUGCCAAUUGUGUUGCAUCAUCAGAAGCAAUAACAUCAUAAGAUGCGAUACCGCUCCAAUAUGGGGGAUCUUGACAAUAACCCAUAUUGAUCAUUGCAUCACAUAAAGGACCAAUGAUACGUAAAUCAUGAAUGCUCCGUUGGUCCUCCCUACGAUUCUCAUUUGGAAUCGUGUCAUGAACUAAGAUAUAUUUCACCUGCAUUGUUUUCGCAUGAACUGUUCCAAAAACAACAAGAUAUAUCUCUUCCUCAAGAUUACCGAUGCCUCCCACAUGAACAGUAGCUGCCCUCUCUUUAGACCUUAUUAUUUCAAUUUUCUACAACAACUUGCAACAUUGUUUGGAACAAUAGUGGGAGGCAUUAGGCUGCACUUUGUUCUUGUGCAUAACUACCAAGCUUGCAGUAGUUUUUGAGCCUCAUAUUAGCAAUUCGGAAAAGAAUGUUCAAUUAUCUGACAUAAGUUGUAGAAAAUAAGGAGUUUCUCAUGUGCAACAUCCACAUAAAAAUCAAAAUCAUUUCUUUCAACAAAGAUUUUUUCAUGCCAGUUAGAAUUUAAAUCAACAAUUUUAGAUUUGAAAAGGGAGAAAUUGUUAUCGGUUAAAGUAACACUAAUUAUUUAUUAUCUACAAUCAUUUUUCAAAAAAUUUGAACUUGGUUACUGGACCGUCAAUAUAUUCCUAUGGACCUAAGAGACCUUCAAAAAGGUUCUUAGACCCUCUUAAAGGAUUUAGCACCCUCCAAAUGGGCCAUAAGGCCUAAAGCGCGUCCUCCUUAAGGCACUGCCUCAAGCUGCUUUUAGAAGGCUCUAGAAAGCCGCCUAAAUACCUAAAUUACCCCUAUUACUUACUGCCUAAGUAACCAUAAAUCAGGCUCAUAGAAGGCUAUAAAUACAACCUUUGAGAGCAUUCUCAAGGCAUGAUCAAUACAAUACAAAACCCUAAUACGAUUAUUGUACUUUUGCAAGCAUAGUCACUUUGUCAAUUGUCACCUCACAAACAAAAGAAAAUAUAUGAUAAUAUAAUUAUGGCUAAAUUGCAUUUUUGGUCCCUUAACUAUUUAGAUAGUAUCGCUUUGAUCCCUUAAUUAAAAUUCGAUUUAUUUUGGUCCCUUAACUUAUCUUCGUUACACAUUUUGGUCCUUUCCGUUAGUUUUAAUUCAAAAACGUUAGAUUUUCUUCAUCUUCUUCUCCUCUUUUUAAUCAUCAUAUCAUCUCCAUCAACCUUCAACAACAAGAAUCCCAGAAAAAUUCUAGAAGAAAAUGAAAUAUGGUGUUGCAAAUAGAAAUUAUUUAACUUUUUCUAACACGCAUUUUCAAUUUCCGAAUUACCUGCUUUGAAAUAUAUUACUCCCUCCGUCCCAUGAUAACUGAGUCGUUUGUAAAAAAAUAUUGUCCCAGUAAUCUUGAUCCAUUUCAGUUUCCAAUACAACAUUAAUUGCUUUUUUCCAAUUAUAACUCUAAUUAAUACUUUCACCACUUCCAAUUCAAUAUAUUCUACUUUACAUUUAUGAUAAAGAAGAAUUCAUCAAUACUUGAUAAAGACACUCAAAACGAUUUUUUUUCUCUCUCUCUCUCUCUCUCUUUCAUUUAUACAGUUUUCUUAAUCCGUGUAAAAAGCUCAACUAGCUCAGUUAAAUUGGGACGGAGGGAGUAGCAAGAUAGGUAUACUUCCUAGUUUUUCUUCUACAAGAGACAUUUUCUGGCUCUACAAGCUAACUUCUGAAAUUAACACAGUUUUGAAUGUGAAAAAGUUUUUACUUUGAGGAUGGAACGCGUAUAGUUCAAUAAAUGUAGCACUAAAAUUGUAAAAUAUAUUGAACUGCAUUAAAGGUUCCGUUAAUAGAAAUGCAGAGUACUAUUAAGGGCCAUUAAAUACUUGUUCUAAAUGAUAGUAAGUCGUUGAUAUUUAUUACUAUAUCCUUAACUACUCCCUUCAAUCUUUUUUAAAAGAAACAAAAAUAUUAUUUUUUUGGUUAUUUUUAUAAGAAAUAUUUCAUUCGUCCCAAAAUAUAAGCAAAAAUGGAUCAACAUAAAUUGAUGUAUCUGGUAUAAAUUUUGAACCAAAUACAUUAACUUUUAUUGACCAAUUUUUCUUACAUUUUAGGACGGACGAGGUAGUGAACAAUUUUCAAAUGUAUUGGAAACUAAAGUUCAUAUAUGCUCUUAUUUAUGAUGUGAGAGUAUUAAAAGUAAGCCGGUGGAAUCAAGAUUAAUUAAUACUCCAUCCGUUUUUAAAUAUAAAUAAAUUUUACUUUUAGGUUCAUUCAAUUAAUGAUGUAUGUGGUUUAUAAUAUGAACCACAUACAUCAUAAUUGAAUGAACCUAAAAGUAAAAUUUGCUUAUAUUUAUUUAGAAACGGAGGGAGUUUAAGGGUAUUCCUAGAAGAAAUGUAAAUGUAUAGGAGUAUCAAAUGAAACCAGCCAUUUUCAACGUACUUCCUUGAUUUUGAUGAUUUAUGUUUUUAGGGAUAUUUAUUAAUCUUUCCUUUUUCAAUUCUUUAACUUAUUUUGCCAAAACCAUUAAUGAACGAUGAUUUUGUAAAAUUAUUAUAAUUUCUUUUUCUUAUGCACAAUUAAUUAUAUUUUUAAUCUAUGUAAACUAGCCAAAAUGACUUAUAAUUUGAGAUGAAGGAAGUAUUAAUUUUUAGGUUUAAAUAUGUCUUUAGUCCUUGCACUUUCAUCAGAUUUUGGCAUUGGUCCCUACACUUUUUUUUGUUUGAAAUUGGUCCCUGCACUUUGUAAAAAUAUUGGUAUUGGUCCCUCUGUUAACUUUCUGUUAAAAAAAAACACAAAACUAUUGGUAUUGGUCCCUGCACUUUGUAAAAAUAUUGAUAUUGGUGCCACGUGGCGUGAAAUGAUUGGGCCACGUGGCACUCCGUUGGUUUUGUGUUUUUUUUUUUAACAAAAAGUUAACAGAGGGACCAAUACCAAUAUUNGGACCAAUACCAAUAUUUUUACAAAGUGCAGGGACCAAUGACAAACAAAAAAAGUGCAGAGACCAAUGUCAAAAUCUGAUGAAAAUGCAGGGACCAAUGACACAUUUAAACCUAAUUUUUAUUCUCACAUUUUUGUCCAAAUGUCAAUCAAAUACAUUUUACUUUUGCUUAUUUUUAUGACCGAGAGUUUAUAUGUUUUACUUCAAACAUCUAUUUAUCUUAUAUUAUUUAUCAUUUUAAUUUUUUCCUUUGGCUCUUGUUUUUCUCUCUCUUUUUUGGAUUGUACUUGGACUUUGAUGUCUUCCUAAGCACGUCGUUAACUCUUUAAUUUUUAGGUGGUUACAUAUUUCAUUUUAGCCUCUUAAAAAAAAUUGUAGUUAAGAAAUAUGCAAAAUACUUAUGAAUAAAUAUGACAAUAUUUUAUAUAAAUUAUUCAAAAAAAAUUGUGUCCAGUUUUUAAACUUUAAUUUUUGUUACGGUGUACUCCAUCCGUUUUAAAAUGAGUGUCGCUUUAGCCAAAAAAAAUUGUUUCAAAAUGAAUGUCACUUUACAUUUUCAAUACAACUUUAAUUUUUUUUUCUUCGAACUCUACCCUCAAUAAAUACUCCAAUUUUUUUCUCACACAACUUUCAAUGCAACUUUAAAUUUGUCUUUUUCAUAAAAGUGUUAUGCUUAAUGAUUAUUUCAUUCCACUACUUAAUUUGUGUACAAUUGACUAAAACGACACUUAUUUUGAAACGAAUGGAGUAAUAUGCUUUAUUUUUUGGGUGCCAAAAUGGCUAAGAAUUUAUAGGAUGUUGGUCAACUAUACAAAUGGUGAUAAAAAAGGAUCUUCAUUCAGCAAGCUUGAGUGUGGAAGAAGAAUCCAAAACAUGCAUAUAUUAAGAUGGUAGCAUGUCAAUCGAGUUAACCCAUAUUUUGAUUGGAAGUAUAAUUUUCAUAUGGAAAAAAACAAAUUAAAAAUAACUAACUUUUCAUACUAGAAAAAACCUAAUUAAUAGUAUUAUUGAAUUGGAAUGCUGACAAGUAAGGGAAGUGGGUGCUACUAGCCAGCAUGACAGAUAAGUGAUAGUUCAUCCACCUUCUCAUUUCCAAAAAAAUGAAAAGAGAAACAUGCAUUUUCUUUGUGUUAACUAUUUUUUUUGCUGGGGUUCAAACUUUACAUAUAUUCUAUGCAUUGUUCAUACUAAUUGAGUUAAGUUUAUGAUGACUUAUGUUAACUAUUCUAUCUUAAGAGAAAUGAAUUCUGAUAAUUUGAAAUUUAGUUGGAAAGUAGCUAAAAUCUAAUAAAAAAUUUGUACCAAAAAAGAAAUCUGAUAAAAAAUAUUUCAUUCAAAAAUUAAACUUAUUUAUCAUAAACAAUUUAUUUUUGAUGAAGUUCGUUACCGCUUAAGCUUAUUUACUUGAUUAGAAAUACAUUUUUAAGAGGAAAAAGAAAAGAUAAAUAUAUAAAUAACAGUAACAUCAUUUCAUUAUUUUAUUUUUUUGGUUACAACAUCAUUUCAUUAUUUUUCAUUUGGAACAUUAUAUAUGAAAAUUAAAUUGGUAUUUUUUUAUGCAAAACAAUUAAUUUGGUCUUUGUUUAGUUGCGGGGGGGAAGUGUGUAGUGUAGCAAAGAGUGAAGGAAAUAGAUGGGUCCCACAUUUCGAACGCAAUCACGGAAUCCACGUACUUAACAGCUGGCAUAACGCGUGGGUUAAAUAAAAACUUGCUUUCUACUCGUCUCCGCCAAUGGGAUCUUUUCUGCUACAUCAGGUACCAUGUUAAAUCAUUGUACCCAUUCCAAUAAAGAAUUCAAAUUAUCAUUUUAACCCAUUCAUUUUUAUCUAUUUGCUAUUAUGGUUCUUCUAUUUCUGAAUUUGUAAUUUUGGUUUCAUUUUAAAAAUAUCUAACUUUUUCAGUUGUACGAAUUAUUUAGUCUUUUAUAAUUAUUGUAAGGGAUCAAUUUGUUAUUUUUUAAAUUAUUGUGUAUGAUUAAAUUGCCUUUUGUACUAUUCAAAAAUGUAAAAAUUGUCUAUUAGUAACUUUUGUGGGUAUAGAUAAGUGUAGUUGAAAAGUUGGUUCAUAUUAUGGAAAAGGAGCUUCGGGUGGAAGGAAAUUGGAAGAUAUUGUGAAGUUUAAAACGAGUAAAAGUUUUUCUCCGACGAGCGGCGUAGGGUUGUCUCUUAACUAGAGACCAACUGCAAACUAGAGGAAUUCAAUGUCGAACAUGUGCGUUCGUUGUGACAACUCUUAUGAAAAUGAUUGACAUUUUUAUUCGAGUGUCCUAAAGUAGAAGAAGCUUGGCUCGAAGUGGGUUUAUUGGAAGUAAUAGAUAAUAAUUUGAAAAUAGUAGAUGGUUUUGUGGCUUUGUGUUUUCAGCUGCUUGAUUUUUUUGGGUAGAAAGAUAUUUGAUUCUUUGUCACACCAUAAUCUCUGUUUGUUUGCGAUGACGUUGUGGGGUAUUUGGAAGCGUAUGAAUGCUAAAUUGUGAAAUGAUGUCAAAACUCCAUCACGUGAGGUUGUCUGUUUAUAGGGCCCAAUACGUUACUGAGAUGGUAACAUAUAAGGCGAAGGUGUGAGCGAUCAAAAGCAAGUAGGGAUAAGCCAAGGCAAGGUCACGCGUGAAUACCACCAUGAGGCCGCGUUGGCAUAAAUAAAAAAAAUAUGAUCUUUAAAAACCAAUGUUGAGGCAACAAUUUUUACGAAGAAAGAAAAAUAUGAUAUUGGGAUGUGCUUGCGAGAUGAUGAGCGGAAAUUUAUAGUAGCGAAAACGUCUUAGUUUCAAGGAAUACCACAAUCUCGUAAGGCGGAAGCGCGAGGCUUUAAGGAGGCAAUAAACAUGUGUGGUAGCAUGAGUUUGAUAAGGAUGUUAGUAGAACUUGAUUAUAAGCAAGUGGUUCACGACAUCUCCAAAUCAGAUUUUGGUACCGUUCUAAAUGCUUGUAGAGUUUCUCAUCUAAAUUUUAAAAUAAAUUUUAUUAGGAAACAAACAAAUAAUAUCGUUUAUUUGUUAGCAAGGACGUCAUUGUUAUAUGUUAGUUCACAUAUUUAUGAUCAUAAGCUCAUAAAGACACGACCUUCAAGCUUAUAUUCUGAAUAGAGAAUUGAUAUUUAAAUAACAAUUUUUAGACAACUUUUAUUACAAAUCUCUCUUAUAUUCUCGUUGUGCUUUUAUUAUUUUUUUUUCUCUCUCUUUUUUGUUAUUGUCCAAUAAAAAAGAGGAAAAGAGUUGUCACUAAAAAUUGUUUAAAAUUAUUUAUCAAAAUAUCAUUUCUCAUUUGAAUAUACUGAUCUUUACUCUAAUCCAAAAAAAAAAAAAAAACUAACCAUUAAUUUUAUUAUUUUGUUUAUUUGUCUGCAUUGCCUGGGUCAUGGUUCCCUACAUCAGCUUCUAUGAUUAGCUUCUGAUCUGCUGUCACACCUGGCAACAUUAUUUGAUUUUGACACGUAGGCAUACUAGUCUACGACACGUGGAUUGUUCGUGUCAUUCUCUGACAACAUGAUUCCUGAGAACAAUAAACUUACGGGUCCCACUAAGAAUUCAAUGAAUAUUCAAUGUAACGGAAAACUGGUCAAAGAAAAAAGGUAACGGAGAACGGUGGUUUAUUUUAUGCAGAACUGAACCGGACCGGUUCGACUUUGUUCAGUAGAUGCCGCCGCAAAUUGUAAUCGGUUGCUUGCAUUGCAUGGGUAUGUAUGAAUCCGUAAUUUCCUCUUUUCUUCUUUUCCUUUAUAUUUUUUUAAAUCUUUUUAUUUUGUUUUUUCUGAUUCAAAUUUCUUUUGAUAAAAUUGUUAAAUUAUGCAUGAGUCCGUAUAAUACGUGACUCGCGAGAUUCUAGGGUUCAUUCACAAAUCAAAGUGUUUUGAUAUAUUUAUUCUAUGAAAAUAAAUUAAAGAUAAUUUUUAUGAAUAGUGUAAAAUUAAAAAAUAAUUAAAUUUUAUUUCGCUAAUUUUUUUGAUAAAUAAUAUUUAAUUAUAUCAAUGAUUGGAAAACAAACUUUGAUAAAAAAGGUAGGAAAUAAUGAUAGGAAAUGUUUUUAUUUUUAUUUUUAAAAAAGGCUUAAAUAUUUUUUUUGUCAUUUAUCUUUUACCAAAUUGUAAUUCGAUUUGGUCCUUUAUGUUUUCUCAAAAUCGUUAUUAUCCUUUAUUAUUUUUAAAAGGUAAUGUUUUAAUCCUUUAUACACAUCAAAAUAGGACAAAAAUAUCAUCUUUUAAAACGAUAAAAGACUCGUGUAAAAAAAGAAAAUAAUAAUUUAAAGAUUAACAAUAAAAGAUAAAAAUCAAAACGAAUUUUAAACAAAAGAUAUAGGACAAAAAGUAUAUUAAAGCUCAAAAACACUUAUUCAAUUAAUAAUUUAAAGAUUAAAUUUACUGGUACAUAUCGAAUUGAUUCAUGUACCUUAGGAUUUCUCGUAUAAUAUAUACUUCAUGUCUUGAAUAAAUGAUCAUAUUUCAUAAUUUUUUCAUCAAAACUUCUUUUUAUUAUUCCAAUUUAAAUCUUUAUUAUAAUUUAUAUUAAUGUAUAUUUAUGUGAGAAACACGUUAGAGUGUCUAAUACAAGACUACUGCCCAACCAAUAACAAGGGUUAGGCCUAGCCAAAAAAAAAAAAAAAAAAAAAAAAAUAUAUAUAUAUAUAUAUAUAUUCUUUUUUUGCACAAAUUUAACACAACUCAAUAUAGUCCAACAUUCUUUAAAAAAAAACAUAAUUUGAUAUUAAUAAAAGUUUUCAUCAUCGUUUAACGGUGAAUAAUCUCCAUCAAAGAAGAUUUAGGGCAUACGAAAUGGAUUCUAUCAUUUCAACUGUUUUUUUUUUCCGUACUUGAGUUAGAAAUCGAAUCUUUGAUCACAUGUUUAAGGAAUCUAAAUUCCUUACAACUUGAACCAAUUCAUUGUUGAUAACAUAAUUCCAACUUAAAACACUAAAUCACCACAUUUACUUUUAAAAAAAAAAUGUUUUAAAUUACUAAAAUAACCCUAAUAAAUGUUAGGAUUAUCUUAGUAAUUUCAAAGGAAAAUGCUUCUUAUCGCGAGCACAAUUGACGCGAAUUAUUCCGAACAGUUAUAUACACAUGCACUGUUUAUUGUAGUAGGUCCCUCUUUUGCAUCCCACCAUCUGUUUUUUGAGCCUUGGACUAAUCUAACGGGAGAAACUCUUCUUGAUAAAUUCGCUUGGUUUAACUCUUGGGACAUAUAGCACUACUGAAUUUCAAAACAUAAUAAGGUCAUGAGUCACUAAUUCAAACUUAGUUGCGUUAAAUAACUCUUUAUUUUAAGUGUUAUCAAAUGCGACAAUAAUUUUGUCUUUAAUAAAUAUUAUUAUUUAUUUUGAAAAUGCAUAUCACUUCAUUUUCAAAGCAUAUAACUCCGUUGAUAUGUAUAAUUACAUAAUGCUGGGGUAGACAUUUAAAUCUUAGAUUUUCAACUUAUUCACCUAUAAAAUUUCUCGUUAACAUACUACUUGACUAAAAAACAUGCAUUUCACUUUCAAAUUUUUCUUUAAAUUUGAAAAUAUGUUGGGUAGUGUUGAUGCAUGCAUGUUAACACCAACAAAAUAGUUGGUCGAAAUCAUGUAUUGGCCACUCAGCUGAUGACAAAGUAUUUGUCAAUCGAUUUGAUCAGAAUAGUUGGUCGAAAUCUAUAUGGCCUUAAGUUUGUUGUUGAGUAUUAUUAACAUAUUCAUGGAAAUGUUGAAUAAAAGCUUUAUAAACAGUAAUAUAGAGCUAACCACAUCAAAAAUGCCCUGCUACAACUUUCCUAGACCCAGACAUUUGCAAAGUAGUUUUUUUUAACAACAAAUUUUUUUAAAAAUCAGAAGUUGAAGGUGAUUUUGGAGAAAAUAUAGAAAUGGAAGUUGUGCAACUUAAAUUAAGGGCAAUUUGUGAGUUGACUAAAUAAAAACUUGAACAAACAUUUCCUGCUACAUUAAUUGGAAUAGUAAAUUUUAGCUCACAACUCAACUAAUUAGGCAAGAUACGUGUUGAUCAAGUUAAGAACGUAGGGGAAGAAUUUUUUUUUUUCCUUAAAAAAAAUUAGGUUAUAGUCAAUUAAUAUGAAAUUGCUACAAGAAAUUUUACAUAUGGAAAAUUUUAGUGACGGCAACUAAAACCUACCCACAAUCAACAAGUUGAUAAAGGGUAUAGGUCUUGUGUACUCUGGAUAUACAUUUAUGUUCGUGGGUGUGCUUCUCUAAAAAAUAGUUUGUGGGUGUGCUAUUGUUAAAGAUUCUUAGAUAUUAUUGAUAGAUUUUAUUUUGUGUAUAAUUAGAUUAUUGUUAAAAAUUCUUAGAUAUUGUUCACAAUUUUUUUUAUAUAUUGUGUAUAGCUGACUAUUAGUAAUUAAUAAAUUACUUCGUAAUAAAAAGAUUGAGUUCAAGUUCUCAUAUUAGGAUGAAUUGUUUGGAAGAAUCUGAAUUUGAUUUUUGGAUAAAUAAUAUUUAAUCUGAAAUUACUUAUUAUUGGCGGAACUCUGGAUCACCAUAACCUCAUUCAUUUUUUUUUUUUGAGGGAAUAACCUCAUUCAUCUUAUAAUCAAAGAAUUAACACAAAAAGUACUAUUAAUUUACAUAUUUAACAACAAAUUCGUAGAAUUUCCCUCAAGAAGCUUUUGGUAGUUGCAUAGUGGCGAAUCUAACUUGUUGUAACAAAAAAAAUAAAAAAUACUCUAACUUGUCAAACUUUAAUGCAAAUGGUAUUCACAACAUGCAAGUUUUAUAACUAGUUUCUACUGAGGCCCAACAUGCUAAGGAACUUGUGAAUGAAUCCCGGGCGAACAUGACUCAGAAUGUAGAGACUGUUGAUUUAGUUGAAAACACAAAUCAGUAAUUUCAGUUGGUGGUUCUAAGAAAAAAGAAGAACAAUUUAAACCAACAACAUGUUAAGGCUAGCAAAGGGUUUAAAGUAAGUGUUUCCAAUCACUCGUCUUGUUAAUACUUUGGUGUGUACUGUGUAGUUGUCCCUCGUGCAUUCAGACAUUUCUUUUUGUUUUCGUAUUUCUUUUUCACAUUUUGUUUUUCUAGAGGGUUUUGACUUUAGUCUUCCUCUUUCUUUGUUCUUUCUUUUAAUAUAUGAUCAGAGUGUUACAACAAACGACUCAUUUGCAUCUUAUCUUUCGCUUAAAAAGAAGUUGAACUUCUCCUAAAAAAAAUAGUAGAAUACUUAGGAUUAUGUUUGAACAACAUAAUAAUAAACAUAUCUAAUAGUUUGAAAGAGAACUAUAUUUAUUAUUUACUUACUAUUUAGAGUCAUAUUUUUAUCUUUAAAGAUAAAAACGGAUUUCAUGAGUAUUAUACUUAAUUGGGAAGACGGUGAGUAGGGCCGGCAAUGAACCGAACCAACUCGAAAAUAGUUCGAGAUUCGAUUUGAUAAUUGACUCAUUAAACUUGGUUCAUGAACCAAAUGAGUCGAACUUGAGUUGAAAAUUAAGCUCGUUAAAUAAAUGAGUCGAACUUGAGUUGAGUAUGGUUCGACUCGUUUAGUUCAUGAACCAGCUCGAUAUAUAUAAAAUAUUAUUUUGCAUAUUGUUAUAUAAUAUGUAAUUUAUUACAAGCUUCUUCUAAUAAUUAUGUACUUUUUUCAUAGGAAUUAUUACUAAUUUGAUUAAUAAUCAACAAUAAUUGUUAUGAUAGAGGAAAAAAGUUAAUAUCUUUUGAAGGCUUUUAAACAAACAUUUGUACACAAAAAGUCCCACAUCGGGUGUUUUGAAAAUAUUAGAGAGUAAGAUUGUAUAUAUAAGAGAGGUGGAUGAUAAUGAGUACAAUAUAAAACAUGGUAUGGGCUACAGUAGUAAGUGCUACUACCUUUCUACCUUCAUAGUUUUAUUUAAUUUAUAUUUUUGUUUUAUUUUUAAGUCAAAGACAUGUAUUUUUGACAAAAAAAAAUUUUGAAGAAAAAAAGCUACAAAGUAUACAAUUCGAGUAGACGAAUUGAACCUAACGAGCCGAACCGAGUUGUUCGUGAACUUUAAACGAGUCGAACUCGAGUUUAAAAAAAGAUUUGUUUCAAACUCGAGUCGAGUUAUGAACCGAAUCAAUUCUUAUCGAGUCGAGCUUAGAGAGGUUCGACUCGACUCGACUCAUUUCCAGCCUUAAGGGUGAGUAAAGUUUCUGAGUUGGUAUCCCAAACAAAGGACCACUGAAUUGGACAGUUUUGAAUUUAAUAUCCUACAUAGAAGAAAGGGACCUGCCCAAGACCUUGGAGGGUGGGGUAUAUUGAAAGAGACAAUCUGUCUCUCACCUAUUUCUCUCAAAGUUGUAUUAAAUUUUGACAGAGAAUUCAAUAUAGUCAUGAAAAAUAUGUUGAAAGCCUUUGUUUUUGGCAUGCAAAAUAUUCAAAAAUAGACUUAUCCUAGUGUUUAAUUGAUGUCAGUAUUCCACCCACUUACAUUUUUUUUAAGAAGCAAAAACAAUUGUAUUAGAAAGUUAUUCAAGCAAGAGAUGUGUCUAAACUCUAAAAUGAAACUAACAAAAUGCCAUAGAAAGGACCAAACGAACAAAACAACAAAAUCAAUAACAUUAUUGUAAAAAAAAAAAAAAAAAAACUCAUUAAUUAAGAUGUGAAAUAACAAAGACAAACAAACCAAGAAAUCAACUCAAAAGACAAACAAACAAAGACUUUUACUUUAACAAUUACAUCAAAGGCAAUUUCUUAUGACAAAAAAUGCGAGGGCUUAAAUAGGCAUAAAUAGAUAGAUAACUCUCAAAUUAUUAUACUUCAUUAUGCAUUAAAGACAUAAAUAAUCUAUAUAAAUAAGCAAGGCUGGUCCAAAAACAAGUCGAUCAAGGUAUCAAUCAUCAUAGACCUCCAAAAUAUUAGAAAUUUACUUCUUAAAAAGUCCUUAUAUUCUACAAUUUCCAAAACAAAAAUUAAUAAAACAUAUAUAAAACCAAUAUUGUAUAUAUCAACAAAUAUUAAAUCAAUUGAAAACGUCACAUCGAACGAAAUCGAUUAUACAAUUUCAUGAAUGGUUUUGUUUAUCAAAACGUAUACAAACUAAAAUUUUAACCAAAAUUUUGUAAAUUUACAAAAGGACAUUGUUAAUGGCUUAAAAAUGGAUCAUAUUAAAAUUUGUCGUAAUCCUUCAUAUAUAUGUAUGAUGCAUGGACUUUCUUAAAAAAAAAUAUAUAUAUGGACUGACCCUAAAAAUAGUUCUAACAUAUACAUUAGAAGAAUGUAAUUAUCUCUAUCAGCUCGUAGACCCAGUUCAGCUAUUUUUUUCAUUAAAAAAGUUAUAAUAAUCUAACUAAAGUGACAAAAUUAUUUAGGGAUAAAAGUGACAAAAUUAUUUAGGGAUAAAAGUGACAGGGACAUAUUGAUAGAAUGUAUAAUUUUUGUUAAUUUGUAUAAAAAUCUAAAGUAACACUGGCACGUAAGAUUUCGUCUUUAUAUGAUAAUAAUCACAAAUCUAAGAAAGAUUCCUAAACAAAUUGUGCCCUUUUUGUUCUGUCGGCAGGGUUUAUUACUAGUGAGUGAUUAACAAUUUUAGUUUAAUUUAUAUGUAUUAUCAGUCUAUUAAAAAAAAUAAAAAUAUUACCUCUACAAUAAUUAUUCAUACUUUACAUGUGUUUUUCUCUGUGGUGCCCUACCCAAACCCCAAAUUUCUUCUUAUACAUCAUAUUCAAACUUUUUGGAUUCGUCGUUCCAAGUUUUAUUUUUUAGAAUGAGUUUUGUUUCACCAUGGCCCUUGGUGAUAAUGCUCUCCAUUUAUUUAUAACAAGUGGGUUCAACAAUAUUGUGUAGCUUUAUAUGUACCUCUCUUCUUUGUAGAGUAGUGGUUGAGUUGAGUGAAAAUUGGGAGCUAAACUCAUAAUAUUAUUUUUAACAGGUUACAAACAUUGUUAACUUAAAAGGGAGGUAUUCAUCACAUGGGAAAUUAAAUGGGAAGGUCAAUGUCAAGUUAAAAAAUAGAGGGGUGUGAUGGAGAAGGUGAAUGUAGAGUUUUUUGAUAAAAAAUAAUACAAGUUACAAAAUUUUAUGUAGUAACUAAAAAAAUCAAUAGUUAUUUCAUCGAGUAAAAAGGAUAAUAUUAAAGAUAAAUCUCCAAAUUCACCCGUCGUCUUAGUUUUCAUAAAGUGAACUGAUUCAACGACAAUUACUUAACCAACACCAAGAACCUUCGAAAGCACCUAAUAAGUGGUGUGGGAUUAGAAAAUCACAAUGGAGCCACCGUGAUUUUGUGAAGCUAUAAGGCAUAGUUUUUGUCAAAAGUUAUGGUGGUUUGCGGUGAUUUUAUCAUCAAUCUCGCUUCUCAUCCAAACAUACACUAAUUAAUAUUACAUGGAGAGAUAAGACACCAAUAUUUCAUAGGCUAUGAAUUAUCACAUUUGUCUGUAAGGGCAAUAUUUGUAUUGUAUAGUUUAGGGAGUCUAAAAAAACACAUGUCUCCAGCCAAAGACAAAACCUCUAAGAAAUAUCUUAUCCACAAAGGUACCCAAAACCUCUAUCAGAAACCUAGACUUAGCCCAUUUAGGACCUAGACAUUAGGUCCCCUCCCUAAACCUGUUGAAAGCUAUUUCAUUGAGUUUUAAAUGUGGUUAUGUUCUUUCCACAUCUCUAAAAGCUAUAUCUUGGGAUUGUAUGUCCUGAUUUGUGUGAAAAUCAAAGACAAAGAAGGGAAUAUCCAGGAUUCUAUCACUGUGAGUUGAAGUAUGUUGAAUUGCAUGGUUGUGUUAGUCAAAUGAUUGAAAUUGAGCUUGCUAUUCAUUAUUUAAAGAAUGUGAUUUCACUAGAGCAUAUCACUUUCGAUCAUAAUGAAAGCAGCUUAAAGCUAAGCCUAUCAUGAGCAGCGUCGCUGCUUGAUCGGCAGUUCGAUAACCUAUUUAGGAGAUGGAAGAUGGUUAGAUGUUUUUCACCAUCUUUCCCAUUGGACUGAGCCUGGGCGCAAUUUGAUUCGUGAAGAACUUCAAAAUUACGUCAAUGGAAUUACCAUACUCAUAGAUUCCUCAAGCACACUGCAAGUCAUUUUAGGAUUUUACUACUUUUACUUACAAAGGCAAAAAUAUAAUUCUGCACAAUAUUUUGCUUUCUUCGCAUACGAUAGUUGAAAGUUUUCUCUUUUCAUAAUACAUCACUUAAAAUAUUAAAACAUAAAUAUUGCAGAAUUUCUUAGAGCAAUUUCUCUAUUUGGUUCGUUCACUUGAAUUCUAUGGUUCUCAUUAUCCAUUUUUUCCUAUUAUUUUGUAGACUAAAUGUCUAAAUUGGUAUUAAGAAAAAACAUAGACCUGUAUGGUCCUUGAAAAAUGACAUCAAAAAUCUUAAAUGCUGAUCAAAUUAGUCUAUAGGUGGCAGCGAUACCAUUCACACACCCAUUCAAAAAUUAGGACUCUCCAAAUUAUUUGAUACAUUAUGUAGAUGACAAUUCAAAGUGGAUCACACUUGAUGAAAAUCGAUGAUUAUAAAGCUAAAACAACCACUUACUAAUGUAAAUACUAACUCUUACAGUUUGUUCGUCAUCAUAGACCGCAUGUCUUAGUUGAAUAGAAUAAUCCGGAUUUGGUAUUGAAAAAAAAACAGUUUAAUUUCAAUUUCAAUGUUGGUCCCUUGGAAUGUCGAGGUCUUUAAAUACUGGACUGUCAACUCCAACUCCCAUGGCGUUUAGUCCGUUAUCCACGUAUAUGACAGCACCAGUGAUAGCUGAUGCUAAGGGUGAUGCCAAGAAAGCAGCAGCGUUGCCUACCUCCUCUGUUACAAAUACUCCAAAGUAUAAGUAAUUUGCAUACUAAAAAGUAGAGAAAUGUUCAUUUCAGAAAAGGAAGAAUCUCAAGGGUAAUAAUAUUACCUGCAUGUAGUUCUUUCUGUAGUGGUGCAUUCGUAAAUGAAUAAUCAAUCAUCAUAUCAAUGAAACCAAUGGCUUUCGCAGCACGGCUUCCAAGUGGACCUAGGCAUUGAAAACAUUUUGAAUCAAUAUGCGACACAGAGACAUUCACAUUGCUAUUUGCUCAUUAAUACAUAAAAUAUAUUAGUCAAUAUAUGAUUACAAUUUAGAAAGAAAAAAAAUUUGUAAUCAUGAUAAGCAUGCAUAGCUACACACUUUUACCCCCACCUAUAUCAGUAUAAGUUCUUAUACUAACAGUCUGUCGCAAAACACAUUUUUUUUGUCUUUAAGUAAGACAUACCGAACAUGUAUCAUAUCCAGAUGAUAGUUGUGUGUGUCUUUAGUUGACAAAUGUAUAUGAGAAGUAUCGGUGAAAGUAUUUUUUAAAUUUAAAUCCUUAUCGAAUACUUUUUGGGUACGUCUCAGGAAUUAUAAGACAGAUAUCUGUGUCAAAUACGUUUUGGACACCGAUACUCUUCCAUUUUUUAAGUAUCUAGGAUUCAUAGUUUGUCAACAUCCACGGAGUUUACUGACAAGCAAAAAUCCAACUUGGAGGAAAAAGUUAAUAACAACAUUAGGUGGGAUUAGCGGAAUUAUUUGACGUUGUAAAGUCGUAUCAUAUAUCUGGUCUAAAAAUGCUUUUAAAUCCCUCUUAAUAGUUUGUUCUACGGUUUUUUCAGUCUUACUUUAGCUCUAAUUAUUGGACUAUCCCUCUGGGUCAAAUCUCCCUACCAAUGCUUCUACAAGUCUUCUCAAUACAUGCUCAAACCAUAUACGACAAUAUUCUAAUUCAACCCGUUUCUGUAUUUUGGAAGCUAUCCUAAUUUUCUCUAUAUGAUUGUAUUUCUAUUCCUAUCUUGUCCUGUGUAAACCACUCAUACGUAGUAACUUUUCUCAUAUCUUGAUACUAAGUUUACGAUGAUGAACCCUAAGUAGGUAAAAUAUGAGACUUGUCGUAUCGUAAUUUUCGCUUCUGCCUUAAAAAUUGUUUGUUCAUUGCUAAACUUGUGUAAGUUGCGUUCGAUAUAACCCAAUUUACUUACUUACACUUAGGCAGAAACCUUGUAUUUCUAAAACUUGCAACCAAAUCUCUAACUUCUCAUUUAUCUCUCUCUUCUAGUCAAUUCUCUCGUUCUCACGCAAAUACAUUUUUAAGCUCCAUCACUCCACGGCUUAAUUUUAAUAAUUUUGUCAAUUAUAGAGUUCUGAUGAUUAGCAUAGCAUUUUCUUUUUUAUCAGUCAUCACCACUUUUCAGGGAGUUAGAAAGCAAAAAUGCUAGAUGGUAACAAAAUACAGCCAGAAUAUAAAAGAUUUUACAAAAGUUCCUCUUUAACAGAAAACAUUGGCAUCAGUCAAAUGCUCAUAUGGAUGUAUUGCAGGUGAAAAGGAAAACAGGCAAAAUCUUAGACCUAUAACCACCUCUAAUACCACUAAUGUAACACCACUUUUUAUUUAACUUAAAAUAAUAAAAAGAACAUAAUUUUUGAAAAAUUUCGAAGUUACUUUCCUUUUUUUAAAAAAAAAAAUUGCAUAAUCUGUAUAUCGAAUUGAUUGCACUAGUGAGAAGCUUUAUUUAGUCUUUGAUUUUAAAAUAUAAAGCCAGUUGUGACAAGCCAUCAAUACCUGCAGAUAUAGUAUUAACUCUGAUUCUUUUCUUUCUACCAGCUUCAAAAGCAAGCACCUGAUAAAUGCAAUUUCAAAAAUGCAAAGGGGAAGAGGCGGAAGUUAGGAACACAAAAGUACCGAAACACACGUAUUUAUGCGUGUAAUAUCACAAUUUUUAUAAAGAAAACGGUAGACUCACUCUUGUAUCACUUUCCAAAGCAGCUUUAGCAGAACUCAUACCCCCACCAUACCUGCAUAUCAUUCAGUUCAAAACUUUGUCAAUGAUUUUUUUUAAUUAAAAUACAGAACUAUGAGUCGUUAGCAUAUCAAACAUACCCAGGAAUAAUCCUCUCUGAAGCAAUGUAUGUUAGAGAUAGUGAAGAUCCACCUUGGUUCAUGAUUGGAAGAAAGUGUUUUAGUAAAGAAAUAUAAGAGUAACUAGAUGCGGACAAGGCAGCUAGAUAUCCUUUCCGAGACGUCUCGGACAAUAGUUUACUGACCUACAAUAGAGUUGAUUUCUUUGUUAAAGCUCAAGGCAUAAGUUAGAAGGAACCAUCAUCUCGUUAUUGUAAUAAUAAUACCUCUGGUCCAUUAGCAAGUGAGUGCACAAGUAUGUCAAUAGUGCCGAAAUCCUUCUUAACAGAUUCAACAACUUCCUGCAAGGAAAUAUAAACGCAAAGCAGACUUAUGAGAACCAGCGUUAUUUAAACACAAGAUGAAACAUGAAUAAUAGAGUAAUAAAAGAACAAUAACAAGCAAGCCUUUAGCAAUAGGUGGAGUAGGCUACAGAGAUCGAUCAUCGUCAAAAGGCCUUAUUGUGUAUUAGGUCCGAAGAUAGGCCAUUUACCUCUAAUCCCGCUUAAUGAUUUGAUCAACAGUCUUCUUUGAUUCCCUCUACCUCUAGGCUCUAACUAUUGGAGUAACAUUUGUACAAAUUUUUUUUAUAGGUCUUCUUCCAACAUGCAUGAACCAUUUCUUUACCACGGAAACUACACCAAUUUGAUCUCUAUGAUUAAAUUUUCCUUUCAUGUGGAAUCUGAUAGGUUUGUUAUUGUUAGUUAAUGGGUGUGUUGAGAGUUAGAUAGGCCAAAUAAGGCAUGCUGCCUACAAAUGGAGCGGAGGAUUAGAAAGAGAAUCAUCUUGUCAUCUUGUCACGUGACUGAAAGGUCACGGGAUCAAGUCUUGGAAACAGCCUUUUGUGUAAAAAAGCAGGGUAAGGCUGCGUAUAAUACACCAAUUGGUGGGACCCCUUCCUGAACCCUGCGUAUGCGGGAGCUUUAGUGCACCGGGCUGCCCUUGGGGCCUUUCGGCAUUGGGAGACUCUAGAGUCUCUCGAAUACUCUAGGAGUUCUACUGUAAUUUGGGAUCUUCACUAUUACUUUUAGUAAUACCAGUUGGUCUCUAUCCGAAUCACUCGUCCAUCAUAACCUUUUACCACGCGACAUUAAAUUACUUACAAUAUUUUUGGUCUUAUAGUUUGUGUGAUAAAAUAUUCCUUCAAAGCUUGAGGAAUACAUUUCAAUUGCAUAUCAAACCAAAAUCGUAGAGUAAAUGCUUCUAAUUAAAUGAUGUUCAGUGUGCUUAGGUUUUGCCUGCUAGCAGAAAAGAAGUACCUUAUGUUUCAAAAAGCAUUAUCUAGGAUUCAUUUCACUUAGGAAAAAAUACCAAAUAAAAAACUUGAAGAAAAUCAAGUAAGCUUAUGAAAUAAUAGAUGAAUCAAAACUUUCAUAUUCAAGCUUGGUCAGAGAAAAGUGGAAGAUGGAUAAGUAAUCCCUCUAGCUUGUGACUAAGGAAGUUAUGUGAUGAAGGGUCAACCUAUUAAUGUCUGAUACUGAUGAAAUCAAGAUUUUUAUCCAUUUCUUUAAAAGGAAUUAAUCAUGAUUUUUAUCUCCAAAUUAAUGCUGAUCACUUUAGUUCCAACAGUGCUGCCGUUUUAAAAAUGUCUUUCAACAUUCUUUUGACACCAAUGUUGUCCAUGAGGAACAGAACAAUCUUUGAGAGAUAAAAUCACAUGUAGAGCAUGAAUGUAUUCUAAAGUGUACAAGAAAAGUGGAACAUACUCCAAUUGAACAUUAAUCUCAUGUUAAAAGCCUUAUUUUAUUGGAUUUUGAAGAAAAAAAAUUGGUGACUUACAAUGUAAAUUUGGAAUAACUUUUCUAGCUUAUUUAGCAAGAUGAUAUCCAGCAAGAUGCUCUCCUCUAUGAACAACUUAUGUUCUUAACACAUGAAUGAUUUCUUAAUAAUAGUUUCAGAAAAGACUAAUGAUAUAUAUUCAAAAUAUAUUAUAAAUUAGUUUAAAAAUCUAUUGGAACAAAAUUGAAACUAACUUCGCAGCAGAGAUCGAAAGAGUAUUAUAACUGUAGCGAAGUAUAGAUAACAGAACGAUAAUAUAUACCUGGACAGUCCAAUUUGAAGCUCCAGCAUAGCGCUUAUUAGCUUUUACCUAUACAAUUUUCACAGAAAAUAAAUGAUGAUAUAUUUUGUGCAUGGUUUUUGUAUCUUUUAAUAAAAUAUAUGAACAUCUCACUUACAUCUUCUGGGACAUCUUCGGGAGUGUCAUAGACUGCAUCCAAGGGAUACACUUUAGUAAUCUCCAUCAAUGAUCCAUCUUGAAGCCUGAAAAGUGGAGAGUUGCCUGUUAGCAACAUACUUGAAAUUUUACAUUUAUUGACAAAGGAACAUCAUUAUAGCAAAGUUUAAACGUCCUACUUGCGUGAUUCGUCAAAUUUUCCACGUCGUAGACUAGACUCAAAUAUAUUUAGAGCCUGCAUGAAAAUGUUAACAGUUAGUACCUGACAGACUGACUCUAUAAACUAUAAAUCAUCGCACUAAUAUAACUAGACUUCAGGCAGUGUUGUCAAACGCGAACCACAAAAAAUAGCAGUUUGUUCAAAUUAUGUUACACAACAGUGCUAUAGCGUGCUGCUAUAGCCGCUGUUUGACAACAUUCUGUACUAAAUAUCGUAUAGCGGAACAAUAGCAUUUUGUCCAAAUUCUGCUACACUAUAACCACUAUUUAACAACAUUGCUUCAGGAACAAAAUAAAAUUUCAAACAGACAACAUUAGAAUUCUGUAAUAUUUAUUUACUUACAGGUACCCAUGUGCCAACAAGAAUUUCAGCUCCUGCUUCUGCAAGAGAUUUUGCUAUUGCCCAGCCAUAUCCAUUGUCAUCAGCCACACCAGCAAUAAAUGCCCUUUUACCUGCACAUAAAAUUACUUUCAGUGAAGUGCUACGUUUUCUUAUAAUAUGGUUACUAUAUAUAUGCCGUACCAAUACAAUUGUAUAAUGUCAAAUCAAACAUAACAAUAGACACCGUUAAAAAGAAGAAAAGCAUCAGAAAUAACUGAUUUAUGAGGGGAAAACGUAAAAGUGAAGAUAUUAUCUUGGCUUAUAUUAUAACCAGCCUCAAAUGCAAAAGACUCCUUUCAACAGCCUAUGUACUGACAUAAGCACUAAUGAGAUUUUCUGGAAUAUCUUAUAGAAACAGCUUACGACAUGUUCAUAAGCAGUUUUCAGCUUAUUUCCAUAAGUUUUCCGUGAUAGCUUAUGAAAACAGCUUAUAUAAAAAUAGUUUGACUUUACUUUAUCUUUUGUUAUAGAAAUGGGUUUUACACAAGUACUUAUAUGAUAAGAGCUUAUGCUAUAAGCAUAAUUACGCUGUGUAUCCAAAUUUUGAUUGGUAAACUAACUUUAAGUAGAUUUUGGAGUGAGUAAACUGUUAAUAGGGAUGUGGCCACAAAAAAGAUACUUCCUUCUAACAUUACUUCAGAUGAGUAUAGGAAGAGUGAUAAAGGGAAGAAGUUUUUUAAAUCACAAAGUAAAACACAGACACACAUGACAAGUAUAAAAACAAAAGCAAAAUAGACACUAUGAUACGAAGGAUUCACGGAAAAAGAAGUGAAACCUCUCAAAUCAAUUGGCAAUCCUGUAGCUUGCUUGUUUGAACUGGACUCGGCCAUUGCCUUUGUUACAAUUUUGUCGAAUUUUAAGGUAUGUGAUGUUGAGGACAGCUGGAAGGGUUUUGCCAAGGCAACAUGACAAACACUUCCUAGUUUAGCACACGAGCCAACUUUAACCCUGCUUCCAACAAUUGCCGGACCUAAAUUUGAAAACUUUUGUGAUGGGGUAAUCCUAGGUCUUGACAUUGCAAUCGACAUAUUAGAAACUGUUGUUGUUGCCAUUUCGAAUUAAUGUAAUUUGAGGGUGGAAUGCGUUAAUCUGCACAGAAAACUAACAUUAAAAACCAAAAAUUAUAAUACAACAAAAAUGAGCAGUUCUAUUUUCACUAGUCCAAACUUAAUAUAAAUUCCAAAUAAUAAAUUAGGACUCCUUGAUAAAAUGUUUGAAAUGGUCACCAUUUGAAAAUUUCCUUGCUUAUCCCAAAAAAAUUGAUUACAGACUUUGACUCCAACAUUACAUCAAGCAUUCUUGUAACUAUAAUUAUCACAAAAUAAACCUUGAAUUUAUAACUUACUCGUAAAUUUAUAUCCUAUGAAACACCGACACAAACACGAACACCAGGCACAACGACACUACGACACUGACACAUCGACAACGGUAAUAAUUUAAGAAAAUGACAUAAUUGAAUGUAAUCACAUGUCUAGUGUUGUGCUGGCAGACACUGGGACACACCUUCGAUCAGAAGUGUCGGUGUUGUCGUUGGUGCUACUGAGCUUAUAUCUAAUAUGAAUUUCCAAAGGAGCAAAAUGCAUUUUUUUUAAAGGCAUAAACCAAACCAUAUGCUAUGAUUACGCAAAAAGCACAAUGAAUUGACUGAAAAGGUAAAAAUACAAAAGCCCUUUACUGCAUUAGAGCCAGAUUCCAACAAAAGCUUAUUAUUUUCAUACUAACCUUCCAAAUUAUGAAAAACAUGAAAACCCUCUUAGUUUUAAUUAUUAGAUCCAAAUAAAUUUCCACCUUUGAUCCAAAAACUUGUUAAAAAAAUCCACUGGCAAAUCAUAAUAAAACUGUUCGAAUUUAAAUCAACAUAAACACAGAAACAUUCUUCAUACACAGAGAUUUAAGCCAUGUUUCACGAUAGAUUCAACAUUUACAUAAUUGCACUAUAGAAACCAAACAAAUAAGAACAAGAAAAGGAUCAUAGGAAGUGAAGUGUUGUUACCUUUUUGAUAAGAAAAUGGAUCAAUGUGGAGAGAGAAAUGCGAGAGUUUGAAGUGGUAAUGUGUAUGAAUGAGAUUAAGGGUAGAAAAUGGAGAGAAAAAAAACUUAGCAAUGUGUGUGUCGAUGGAAACGAUGUAGUUGUGUUUUUAUGUGAAGUUGUUCGAAGUAGUUGAGCUUUGGAAGUGUCGAAUGUUAAACAGUCCCUCGUACUUGUUUUUUGUUUGGAACUUGUUUUUGUUUUCUUUUUCGUCCAUCGUAAAUAAAAUAAAAUAAAAAUAAUAUUAUCUCCGUCACCAGUGUAUAAGACUCUUUUGCUAAAAUCACGUAAAUUAAGAAAGUAGAUAUUUGUAUUAAAGUUGUAUUUAAUCACUAUUAUUUUUACAAUUUUAUUCUUAAGAGAUAGUUGGUUUAUGUUUUCCAUAUGCUAUUUAUUGUUAAUUGAAGAAAAAGAUGUAUAAUAAAUAUGGGCAUGUAUGUAAAAAAUAAUUAAUGUAGUUGAAAAUAGCAGAGUGGUCUUAUAAAAAUGGACAAAAAAUUCUCAAAAGAGUCUUAUAAUUAGGGACGGAGGUAGUACUAAAAGAAUACUUAUGUUUUUAUUCUAGAAUAAAAUACAAAUAAAAGUUUGUACAAAAAAAAAUACAAAUAAAAGUUUUUUUUAAUGGAAAUACAAAAAUAAAUAUAAACAAAAGUGAUAGUUGAAAUGGUGUAUAUGGUUAAAAAUUUAAUUCAAACACAACAAUUUUUUAACUAUCAAUUUU
rnacentral:lncRNA from 1 species